ensembl:snRNA U6 U6 spliceosomal RNA
GUGCUCACUCUGGCAGCACAGGUACUGAAAAUAGAACCACACAGAGCAGGUCAGCAUGACCGCUGCUCAAGGGUGCCAUGCAAAUUUGUGAAGAUUCCAUAUUUUUU